UUUAAGAGAAUUACACUGACCUAACUGACUGAAAUCGUAAAAAGAUUACAACCGGAACUAGAUAUGGUUGGUACACAUUACCGUAUAUACUGGAGUACAAGUUCACCAUGAGUGAACAUACCAGCUGACAUACACUUCAGUAACACUGUUGUCUGGAAAUAUGCAGCAGAUGCAAUCACACCAUGUGAUAGCACAGUGGUACGCCAGUCACUGCAAGUAAACAUUGCAGGAGCAGCAGGCAGUGAAGAAGAAGCUGCCAGACCUGUUGAGCUUCUGCAGCACUGUUUUCGCCCUGACAGAAGAAACAUUUCAGAACUGGAGACAACCAGCUAAUCUAGCUUUCGACCAAGUGUGAC